CCCUUAGACGUCCGAGGCUGCACGCGUGCUACAAUGGCUGUGUCAACAAGUUUUUCCUUCUCCGAAAGGAGUGGGCAAUCUUUGAAACGCAGUCGUGCUGGGGAUUGAGCGCUGGAAUAAUGCUCAUGAACGAGGAAUUCCUUGUAGGCGCAAGUCAUUAUCUUGCACCGAAUGCGUCCCUGCCUUUUGUACACACCGCCCGUCGCUACUACCGAUUGGUGCGUUUGGUGAGGUCUUUGGAGAGCGAUUGUCGUGGUGGUUCGCCGUCACAAAGUUGUUUGAAAUUGAUCAAAUCGCACGCACUAGAGGAAGUAAAAGUCGUAACA
rnacentral:rRNA from 1 species